GUUGCCAUCGGGCGAGCCGGGCACUCUGGAGGGACUGCCGGCGACAAGCCGGAGGAAGGUGGGGAGUGACGUCAAGUCAUCAUGGCCCUUAUGUCCAGGGCGACACACGUGCUACAAUGGCCGGCACAGCGGGAAGCGGAGGGGCGACCCUGAGCGGAUCCCUUGAAAGCCGGUCCCAGUUCGGAUUGCAGUCUGCAACUCGACUGCAUGAAGUUGGAAUCGCUAGUAAUCGCGGAUCAGCCAAGCCGCGGUGAAUACGUUCCCGGGCCUU
rnacentral:rRNA from 1 species